ACUCCUACGGGAGGCAGCAGUGGGGAAUAUUGCACAAUGGGGGAAACCCUGAUGCAGCCAUGCCGCGUGUGUGAAGAAGGCCUUGGGUUGUAAAGCACUUUCAGUAGGGAGGAAGGUAGUGUAGUUAACACCUGCAUUAUUUGUACGUUACCUACAGAAGAAGCACCGGCUAACUCCGUGCCAGCAGCCGCGGUAAGUACGGAGGGUGCGAGCGUUAAUCGGAAUUACUGGGCGUAAAGCGCAUGCAGGCGGCCUGUUAAGUCAGAUGUGAAACGCCCGGGGUCUUAACCUCGGAAUUGCAUUUGAAACUGGCAGGCUAGAGUCUUGUAGAGGGGUUAGAAUUUCGAGGUGUAGCGGUGAAAUGCGUAGAGAUCUGAAGG
rnacentral:rRNA from 1 species